AUGUGCCCUAAGUGUAAAAAUGCAUGAUGCAACACAUAUUUAAUUCUAACUAAUAUUUUUGGAUUUUAAUAUUUUUUUAUUUGUUUGUGAUUUUCAAUUUUCAAAUUUGUUUGUGGUUUUCUAAAUAAAAACGAAAAAUAAGAGUGGAGAGAUACGGGAUACCAAAGCAAGCUUCCAAAUCCGAGCAAAAUUUGUCCACUUUACUCCAUGAUUCCCG
rnacentral:lncRNA from 1 species